rnacentral:rRNA from 1 species
GUUGUAUAGUUAAGUGACUAAGCGUACAAGGUGGAUGCCUUGGCAAUCAGAGGCGAGGAAGGACGUGCUAAUCUGCGAAAAGCUUGGAUGAGUCGAUAAGAGGCGUUUAAUCCAAGAUGUCCGAAUGGGGAAACCCAGUAGAUGAAGAAUCUACUAUCACUUACUGAAUCCAUAGGUAAGUGAGGCAAACCGGGAGAACUGAAACAUCUAAGUACCCCGAGGAAAAGAAAUCAACCGAGAUUUCGUUAGUAGCGGCGAGCGAACGCGAAGGAGCCUGUUAGUGAUAAUGACAGAGACAGAGGAACAAGCUGGGAAGCUUGGCGAUACAGGGUGAUAGCCCCGUACUCGAAGUCCAGGUCAUGGUACUAAGCUAACGACAAGUAGGGCGGGACACGUGAUAUCCUGUUUGAAGAUGGGGGGACCAUCCUCCAAGGCUAAAUACUCCUGAUUGACCGAUAGUGAACCAGUACUGUGAAGGAAAGGCGAAAAGAACCCCGGUGAGGGGAGUGAAAUAGAACCUGAAACCUUGUACGUACAAGCAGUGGGAGCCCUUUUGGGGUGACUGCGUACCUUUUGUAUAAUGGGUCAGCGACUUAUAUUUUGUAGCGAGGUUAACCGAAUAGGGGAGCCGAAGGGAAACCGAGUCUUAACUGGGCGUCUAGUUGCAAGGUAUAGACCCGAAACCCGGUGAUCUAGCCAUGGGCAGGUUGAAGGUUGGGUAACACUAACUGGAGGACCGAACCGACUAAUGUUGAAAAAUUAGCGGAUGACUUGUGGCUGGGGGUGAAAGGCCAAUCAAACCGGGAGAUAGCUGGUUCUCCCCGAAAUCUAUUUAGGUAGAGCCUUGAGCGGACACCUUCGGGGGUAGAGCACUGUUUCGGCUAGGGGUCCAUCCCGGAUUACCAACCCGAUGCAAACUACGAAUACCGAAGAGUGAUACUCAGGAGACACACGGCGGGUGCUAACGUCCGUCGUGGAGAGGGAAACAACCCAGACCGCCAGCUAAGGUCCCAAAGUCUAUAUUAAGUGGGAAACGAAGUGGGAAGGCUUAGACAGCUAGGAUGUUGGCUUAGAAGCAGCCAUCAUUUAAAGAAAGCGUAAUAGCUCACUAGUCGAGUCGGCCUGCGCGGAAGAUGUAACGGGGCUCAAAUAUAGCACCGAAGCUGCGGCAUCAGACGAAAGUCUGUUGGGUAGGGGAGCGUUCUGUAAGCGGAUGAAGGUGGCUCGAGAGGGUUGCUGGACGUAUCAGAAGUGCGAAUGCUGACAUAAGUAACGAUAAAACGGGUGAAAAACCCGUUCGCCGGAAGACCAAGGGUUCCUGUCCAACGUUAAUCGGGGCAGGGUGAGUCGGCCCCUAAGGCGAGGCUGAAAAGCGUAGUCGAUGGGAAACGGGUUAAUAUUCCCGUACUUGGAUAAACUGCGAUGUGGGGACGGAGCAGGUUAGGUUAUCGCACUGUUGGAUAUGUGCGUUUAAGUUGGUAGGUGUGAAGUUUAGGCAAAUCCGGACUUCUUUAACACCGAGAGAUGAUGACGAGGCUCUACGGAGCUGAAGUAACCGAUACCACACUUCCAGGAAAAGCCACUAAGCUUCAGGUUUAUCUAAACCGUACUGAAAACCGACACAGGUGGUCAGGUAGAGAAUACUCAGGCGCUUGAGAGAACUCGGGUGAAGGAACUAGGCAAAAUAGCACCGUAACUUCGGGAGAAGGUGCGCCGGCGUAGAUUGUAGUCCCUUGCGGAUGAAGGUUGAACCGGUCGAAGAUACCAGCUGGCUGCAACUGUUUAUUAAAAACACAGCACUCUGCAAACACGAAAGUGGACGUAUAGGGUGUGAUGCCUGCCCGGUGCUGGAAGGUUAAUUGAUGGUGUAAUCGAAAGAGAAGCUCCUGAUCGAAGCCCCAGUAAACGGCGGCCGUAACUAUAACGGUCCUAAGGUAGCGAAAUUCCUUGUCGGGUAAGUUCCGACCUGCACGAAUGGCAUAAUGAUGGCCAGGCUGUCUCCACCCGAGACUCAGUGAAAUUGAAAUCGCCGUGAAGAUGCGGUGUACCCGCGGCUAGACGGAAAGACCCCGUGAACCUUUACUAUAGCUUGACACUGAACAUUGAAUUUUGAUGUGUAGGAUAGGUGGGAGACUUUGAAGAUGAUACGCCAGUAUUGUUGGAGUCGUCCUUGAAAUACCACCCUUUAACGUUUGAUGUUCUAACGAAGAUUACGAAACGUGGUCUCGGACAGUGUCUGGUGGGUAGUUUGACUGGGGCGGUCUCCUCCCAAAGAGUAACGGAGGAGCACGAAGGUUUGCUAAUGACGGUCGGACAUCGUCAGGUUAGUGCAAUGGUAUAAGCAAGCUUAACUGCGAGACAGACAAGUCGAGCAGGUACGAAAGUAGGUCAUAGUGAUCCGGUGGUUCUGAAUGGAAGGGCCAUCGCUCAACGGAUAAAAGGUACUCCGGGGAUAACAGGCUGAUACCGCCCAAGAGUUCAUAUCGACGGCGGUGUUUGGCACCUCGAUGUCGGCUCAUCACAUCCUGGGGCUGAAGUAGGUCCCAAGGGUAUGGCUGUUCGCCAUUUAAAGUGGUACGCGAGCUGGGUUUAGAACGUCGUGAGACAGUUCGGUCCCUAUCUGCCGUGGGCGUUGGAGAAUUGAAAGGGGCUGCUCCUAGUACGAGAGGACCGGAGUGGACGCACCGCUGGUGUUCCGGUUGUGUCGCCAGACGCAUUGCCGGGUAGCUAAGUGCGGAAGAGAUAAGUGCUGAAAGCAUCUAAGCACGAAACUUGCCUUGAGAUGAGUUCUCCCUGUCUUUAAGACAGUAAGGGUUGUUUAAGACUAAGACGUAGAUAGGUCUGGUGUGUAAGCGGUGUGAGCCGUUGAGCUAACAGAUACUAAUUGCCCGAGAGGCUUAACUAUACAACGCUCAAGGGUUUUG